UACAGAGGUCUCAAGCGUUGUUCGGAUUCAUUGGGCGUAAAGGGUGCGUAGGCGGCGCGGUAAGUCGGGUGUGAAAUCUCGGGGCUUAACUCCGAAACUGCAUUCGAUACUGCCGUGCUUGAGGACUGGAGAGGAGACUGGAAUUCACGGUGUAGCAGUGAAAUGCGUAGAUAUCGUGAGGAAGACCAGUGGCGAAGGCGGGUCUCUGGACAGUUCCUGACGCUGAGGCACGAAGGCCAGGGGAGCAAACGGG
rnacentral:rRNA from 1 species